GCCAAUCAAACCGGGAGAUAGCUGGUUCUCCCCGAAAGCUAUUUAGGUAGCGCCUCGUGAACUCAUCUCCGGGGGUAGAGCACUGUUUCGGCAAGGGGGUCAUCCCGACUUACCAACCCGAUGCAAACUGCGAAUACCGGAGAAUGUUAUCACGGGAGACACACGGCGGGUGCUAACGUCCGUCGUGAAGAGGGAAACAACCCAGACCGCCAGCUAAGGUCCCAAAGUCAUGGUUAAGUGGGAAACGAUGUGGGAAGGCCCAGACAGCCAGGAUGUUGGCUUAGAAGCAGCCAUCAUUUAAAGAAAGCGUAAUAGCUCACUGGUCGAGUCGGCCUGCGCGGAAGAUGUAACGGGGCUAAACCAUGCACCGAAGCUGCGGCAGCGACGCUUAUGCGUUGUUGGGUAGGGGAGCGUUCUGUAAGCCUGUGAAGGUGUGCUGUGAGGCAUGCUGGAGGUAUCAGAAGUGCGAAUGCUGACAUAAGUAACGAUAAAGCGGGUGAAAAGCCCGCUCGCCGGAAGACCAAGGGUUCCUGUCCAACGUUAAUCGGGGCAGGGUGAGUCGACCCCUAAGGCGAGGCCGAAAGGCGUAGUCGAUGGGAAACAGGUUAAUAUUCCUGUACUUGGUGUUACUGCGAAGGGGGGACGGAGAAGGCUAUGUUGGCCGGGCGACGGUUGUCCCGGUUUAAGCGUGUAGGCUGGUUUUCCAGGCAAAUCCGGAAAAUCAAGGCUGAGGCGUGAUGACGAGGCACUACGGUGCUGAAGCAACAAAUGCCCUGCUUCCAGGAAAAGCCUCUAAGCAUCAGGUAACAUCAAAUCGUACCCCAAACCGACACAGGUGGUCAGGUAGAGAAUACCAAGGCGCUUGAGAGAACUCGGGUGAAGGAACUAGGCAAAAUGGUGCCGUAACUUCGGGAGAAGGCACGCUGAUAUGUAGGUGAAGUCCCUUGCGGAUGGAGCUGAAAUCAGUCGAAGAUACCAGCUGGCUGCAACUGUUUAUUAAAAACACAGCACUGUGCAAACACGAAAGUGGACGUAUACGGUGUGACGCCUGCCCGGUGCCGGAAGGUUAAUUGAUGGGGUUAGCCGCAAGGCGAAGCUCUUGAUCGAAGCCCCGGUAAACGGCGGCCGUAACUAUAACGGUCCUAAGGUAGCGAAAUUCCUUGUCGGGUAAGUUCCGACCUGCACGAAUGGCGUAAUGAUGGCCAGGCUGUCUCCACCCGAGACUCAGUGAAAUUGAACUCGCUGUGAAGAUGCAGUGUACCCGCGGCAAGACGGAAAGACCCCGUGAACCUUUACUAUAGCUUGACACUGAACAUUGAGCCUUGAUGUGUAGGAUAGGUGGGAGGCUUUGAAGUGUGGACGCCAGUCUGCAUGGAGCCGACCUUGAAAUACCACCCUUUAAUGUUUGAUGUUCUAACGUUGACCCGUAAUCCGGGUUGCGGACAGUGUCUGGUGGGUAGUUUGACUGGGGCGGUCUCCUCCUAAAGAGUAACGGAGGAGCACGAAGGUUGGCUAAUCCUGGUCGGACAUCAGGAGGUUAGUGCAAUGGCAUAAGCCAGCUUGACUGCGAGCGUGACGGCGCGAGCAGGUGCGAAAGCAGGUCAUAGUGAUCCGGUGGUUCUGAAUGGAAGGGCCAUCGCUCAACGGAUAAAAGGUACUCCGGGGAUAACAGGCUGAUACCGCCCAAGAGUUCAUAUCGACGGCGGUGUUUGGCACCUCGAUGUCGGCUCAUCACAUCCUGGGGCUGAAGUAGGUCCCAAGGGUAUGGCUGUUCGCCAUUUAAAGUGGUACGCGAGCUGGGUUUAGAACGUCGUGAGACAGUUCGGUCCCUAUCUGCCGUGGGCGCUGGAGAACUGAGGGGGGCUGCUCCUAGUACGAGAGGACCGGAGUGGACGCAUCACUGGUGUUCGGGUUGUCAUGCCAAUGGCACUGCCCGGUAGCUAAAUGCGGAAGAGAUAAGUGCUGAAAGCAUCUAAGUACGAAACUUGCCCCGAGAUGAGUUCUCCCUGACUCCUUGAGAGUCCUGAAGGAACGUUGAAGACGACGACGUUGAUAGGCCGGGUGUGUAAGCGCAGCGAUGCGUUGAGCUAACCGGUACUAAUGAACCGUGAGGCUUAACC
rnacentral:rRNA from 1 species